rnacentral:snRNA from 1 species
GUGCUCACUUCAGCAGCAUAUAUACUAAAGUUGGAAUGAUACAGAGAUGAUUAGCAUGACCCCUGCACAAGGAUGACACGCAAAUUCAUGAAGCGUUCCAUAUUUUA